rnacentral:rRNA from 1 species
AUUGAACGCUGGCGGCAGGCCUAACACAUGCAAGUCGAACGAGUGGCGGACGGGUAAGUCAUGUCUGGGAAACUGCCUGAUGGAGGGGGAUAACUACUGGAAAAGGUAGCUAAUACAGCAUACCAUCAGAUGUGCCCAGAUUGGAUUAGCUAUUUGGUGGGGUAACGGCUCACCAAGGCGACGAUCCCUAGCUGGUAAGACAGGAAGACCAGCCACACUGGAACUGAGACACUGUCCAGACUCCUACGGGAGGCAGCAGUGGGGAAUAUUGCACAAUGGGCGCAAGCCUGAUGCAGCCAUGCAGCGUGUAUGAAGAGGGCCUUCGGGUUGUAAAGUACUUUCAGCGGGGAGGCGUUACCCGCAGAAGAAGCACCGGCUAACUCCGUGCCAGCAGCCGCGGUAAUAC